GCCAAUUUAAGCCCUCUCAAACAUAAUCAAAAUUAUUUUCACUAUUAACCAAAACAUUUACUUAUCUAAGUAUAGGCGAUAGAACAGAGUAUUAGGCGCAAUAACGCAAGUACCGUAAGGGAAAAAUGAAAGACUGAUUAAAAGCACUAAAAAGCAAAGAUUAAAACUUCUACCUUUUGCAUAAUGAUUUAGCUAGUUAAAUCGGACAAAAAGAAUUACGCCCGACUUCCCGAAAUUAAGUGAGCUACUAUAAAACAGUAAUUGAACUAACUCGUCUAUGUGGCAAAAUAGUGAGAAGAUUUCAUAGUAGAGGUGAAAAGCCAACCGAACUUAAAGAUAGCUGGUUAUCCAAAACACGAAUUUUAGUUCAACUUUAAAUUUAAUAAAAGUAUUACCUAAACCUAACUUAAAUUUAAAAGCUAAUCGACAGAGGGACAACUCUUUGGAUUAUGUAGACAAACUUAUUUAGAGGAUAAUGACUUAUACUAAUACAUUGUGGGCCUAAAAGCAGCCACCAAUAAUGAAAGCGUUAAAGCUCAAAUACACUAAAUACCUAAUACCAAAAACAUUAUCAAAAUCCCUAACUUACUAUUGGAUGAUUCUAUAGAUAAAUAGAAGCCAUAAUGCUAAAAUAAGUAACAAGAAAUAUUUCUCCUUGCACAAGCCUACAUUAGCAACGGAAACUCCACUAAUAGUUAACAAACCAAUAAUUUUAGUCAUACACAAGCCUAUUAUUGAAUUAAUUGUUAACCCAACACAGGCGUGCAAAUAAGGAAAGAUUAAAAGGAAUAAAAGGAACUCGGCAAACAAAAACCCCGCCUGUUUACCAAAAACAUCACCUCUAGCAUCACAAAUAUUAGAGGCACCGCCUGCCCAGUGAGUUUAACUUUAACGGCCGCGGUAUCCUGACCGUGCAAAGGUAGCAUAAUCACUUGUCCCCUAAAUAGAGACUUGUAUGAAUGGCAUCACGAGGGUUUAACUGUCUCUUAUUCUCAAUCAGUGAAAUUGACUUUCCCGUGCAGAGGCGGGAAUAAUAAUACAAGACGAGAAGACCCUGUGGAGCUUAAGUUUCAUAAUCUAACUUAAUCUACUUCACCCUACGGACAUAAAAAGAUAGUAACUAGAUUAUAACCUUUGGUUGGGGCGACCUCGGAGCAAAAAUUAACCUCCGAAUGAUUAAACCUAGAUCAACAAAUCUAAGUGUAAUAAUACCAGUAAUUGACCCAUAUUUUGAUCAACGGAACAAGUUACCCCAGGGAUAACAGCGCAAUCCUAUUCAAGAGCCCAUAUCAACAAUUAGGGUUUACGACCUCGAUGUUGGAUCAGGACAUCCCAAUGGUGCAACCGCUAUUAAAGGUUCGUUUGUUCAACGAUUAAAGUCCUACGUGAUCUGAGUUCAGACCGGAGAAAUCCAGGUCGGUUUCUAUCUGUAUAUUAAUUUCUCCUAGUACGAAAGGACAAGAGAAGUAAGGCCAAUGUUAUCAACAAGCCUUAAAGACAAGAUAUGAACAUAUCUAAAUAUCUUAACUUAAUACUUUUAAUCUCUAGAAAAGAGCU
rnacentral:rRNA from 1 species